UGAAUCCGUCACCCCGGCGGAGGCCGGGGUCUCGGGAGCAGCGCAGCGCGUGAGCCUCCUGAGAUCCCGGCCUCCGCCGGGACGACGUUGUUG
rnacentral:pre_miRNA from 1 species